UACGAAGGGGGCUAGCGUUGUUCGGAAUUACUGGGCGUAAAGGGCGCGCAGGCGGCCGCUCAAGUCAGAUGUGAAAGCCCCGGGCUCAACCUGGGAACUGCAUUUGAUACUGAGUGGCUAGAGUUCGGGAGAGGAGAGUGGAAUUCCCAGUGUAGAGGUGAAAUUCGUAGAUAUCAGGAAGAACACCCGUGGCGAAGGCGGUUCUCUGGGACGGUACUGACGCUGAGACGCGAAAGCGUGGGGAGCGAACAGG
rnacentral:rRNA from 1 species